UACGUAGGUCCCAAGCGUUGUCCGGAUUUAUUGGGCGUAAAGCGAGCGCAGGUGGUUUAAUAAGUCUGAUGUAAAAGGCAGUGGCUCAACCAUUGUAUGCAUUGGAAACUGUUAGACUUGAGUACAGUAGAGGAGAGUGGAAUUCCAUGUGUAGCGGUGAAAUGCGUAGAUAUAUGGAGGAACACCGGUGGCGAAAGCGGCUCUCUGGACUGUGACUGACACUGAGGCUCGAAAGCGUGGGUAGCAAACA
rnacentral:rRNA from 1 species